CUUCUAAGUGACAGAAGCAGGGGCGAGGCCUCCCCAGGGCCGUCUCCUGGGACCGCCUGGGACCACAGCAGAGACGCAGGGUGGCUAGAGGCGAGAGAGGUGAACGCGGCCUGGGCCUGCCUGGGUGAGAGACCCUUGCCACUCACGCCCUGGGAACACUGGCGGCCAUGGCCGUGGCCCAGCAGCUGCGGGCUGAGAGCGACUUUGAACAGCUUCCCGAUGACGUAGCCGUCUCGGCCAACAUCGCUGACAUCGAGGAGAAGAGGGGCUUCACCAGCUACUUUGUUUUUGUCAUCGAGGUGAAGACUAAAGGAGGAUCCAAAUAUCUCAUCUACCGCCGCUACCGCCAGUUCUACGCCUUGCAGAGCAAGCUGGAGGAGCGCUUCGGGCCCGAGAACAAGACCAGCCCGUUCACCUGCAGCCUGCCCACACUUCCGGCCAAAGUGUACGUGGGUGUGAAACAGGAGAUCGCUGAGAUGCGGAUUCCUGCCCUCAACGCCUACAUGAAGAGCCUCCUCAGCCUUCCCAUCUGGGUGCUGAUGGACGAGGACGUCCGGAUCUUCUUCUACCAGUCAUCCUAUGACGCGGAGCAGGUGCCCCAGGCACUGCGCCGGCUCCGGCCACGCACCCGGAAAGUCAAGAGUGAGUCCCCACCAGGCGCCCUCUUUGACCGCAUGGCCGCUCCGAGAGCAGAGGCCCUGUUUGACUUCACUGGGAACAGCAAACUGGAGCUGAAUUUCAAAGCUGGAGAUGUGAUCAUCCUUCUCAGUCGGAUCAAUAAAGACUGGCUGGAGGGUUUCUCCCCGGCGGCGCUGUUGACAUUUGGGGCCAGAUUGGCGUGGGGCCAUCCUGUGCCCUGCAGGGCGUUCCGCCGCAUCCUUGGCCUCCGCUCACCAGAUGCCGGCAGCACCCCUGCAGUUGACAGUCAAAUCCCUCCAGACAUUUGGCUCGGGGUGGGGGAGGCUGCAAAAUCAGCCGCAACUGGGAUGGGCUAGUGGGUCAUCUGGGAGAAUUGUCCUAACCGUCGUGCGGCAAGAAGAGAGUGAUACAGAGCGUAAGCUCCGGGGUCGGCCUGCCUGGUGUCCUUUCCUAGUUGUUUUUAACUAGCUUUGCGUCCCUGGGAACCUUGCUCAACCCUGUGGUUUCCUUUUCCGUAAAUGGAGAGAGCUGGCAAUUUCUUCCUAGCGGUCCUGGGAGGGCCGGCCGAGGCGCGGCUGUUCGGGGCUUGGCCCGCAGAGGGCCUCCGUGUGUGGCAUCUGGCCGGUGCCGGGGCUGCUGGGAAAGUGAAAUGAGACUCUGACGCCAGAGUCCGUCUUGACUGUUGCUUCGUCCCCGCAGGUGGCAUGUGGGGCCCCCCCCAGGGGUGAUUGGUGGAUGGAGAUGGGAGGUCCUGGCCUGCUUCUGGCCAUUCCGGUUGGAUCCUGCUGCCCUUAAACAAAGUUCCCUUUGGUCGAGGCUCCUGAGGCCGGGGGGCGUCUGAAGGAGAUUGUGGAACGGGCCCCGGGGGUUCUCGAGGGGGAGGGGAGGGUCGCUGGUGUCCAGGAGCUAGACAGGGGCAAGGACCGUUGGUCUGGCCGACUUGGCAGCUUUGAUCUUAGCCCCCGUCCUGGAGCCGUGUCUCGGGACUCAGCGGCUCUUACAGCUGUUGGGCAUUGCUGGCCACUCUCCAGACCCAGAAAAUGUCUGUUGCCUUCCUGUUUUCUGAAAAGUUCUGUGUGGCACCAUCCGGGGAGCCACGGGCAUCUUCCCACAGUCGUUCGUGAAGAUCCUCAAGGACUUCCCGGAGGAAGACGACCCCACCAACUGG